rnacentral:rRNA from 1 species
GAUGAACGCUGGCGGCGUGCUUAACACAUGCAAGUCGAGCGAGAAAUUCUUUUCGGAUCCCUUCGGGGAGAAAAUUUGAAUGGACAGCGGCGGACGGGUGAGUAACGCGUGGGAAACCUGCCUUAUACAAAGGGAUAGCCUCGGGAAACCGGGAUUAAUACCUUAUGACACUUCACUACCGCAUGGUAGAGAAGUCAAAGCUCCGGCGGUAUAAGAUGGUCCCGCGUCCCAUUAGCUAGUUGGUGAGGUAGUAGCUCACCAAGGCGACGAUGGGUAGCCGGCCUUAGAGGGUGAACGGCCACACUGGAACUGAGACACGGUCCAG